AGAGUUUGAUCCUGGCUCAGAUUGAACGCUGGCGGCAUGCUUUACACAUGCAAGUCGAACGGCAGCACGGGGGCAACCCUGGUGGCGAGUGGCGAACGGGUGAGUAAUAUAUCGGAACAUAUCCGGAAGUGGGGGAUAACGUACCGAAAGGUACGCUAAUACCGCAUAUGCCCUGAGGGGGAAAGGGGGGGAUCGCAAGACCUCUCGCUUUCGGAGUGGCCGAUAUCGGAUUAGCUAGUUGGUGAGGUAAAGGCUCACCAAGGCGACGAUCCGUAGCUGGUCUGAGAGGACGACCAGCCACACUGGAACUGAGACACGGUCCAGACUCCUACGGGAGGCAGCAGUGGGGAAUUUUGGACAAUGGGCGAAAGCCUGAUCCAGCCAUGCCGCGUGAGUGAAGAAGGCCUUCGGGUU
rnacentral:rRNA from 1 species